GCAGUUGCCGCCGCUGCCACUGUCGCGCCGCCGCCACCGCCGUCGCUGUCGCCGUCAGUGCCCUUCUGAAGAGUGACAGCGCCGUAAAAGCGGGAGGGAGCACCGAACCCCGCGCCUUUAUGAAACAGGUGCAUGCGCCGGUCUCCUGGUGAGUGGACCCAGCUCGCAAGGUAGCCAUUCAUGAGUCUGAGGCUUUGAGAAAUGCUCACUGUGAAAAGGGGAACUUUCGCCAGAUUUUCUGAAGCUGUCCUAGAAAUACACUUUUCAGAUUGAUUCAGCAUUACCAGCUUAUCCAACAAAAGUAUUAACAUAUACGUUAACAACGUCGAAAGUAGCCUACUUUAAGAGAAAAUAUGCAGAAGAAGAAGAUUUACAUCAAGAUUACCAUGGGUAUUUUCCAAAA